rnacentral:rRNA from 1 species
AUAGCGUAUAUUAAAGUUGUUGCAGUUAAAAAGCUCGUAGUCGGAUGUCGGGCUCGGGCAGGCUGUCGGCUUCGGUCGGACGGCAGGCUCGGGUCUUUCUGCCUGAGGAUCCCGUUGCACUUAAUUGUGGGGCGUGGGGACGCAGGCCGUUUACUUUGAAAAAAUUAGAGUGUUCAAAGCAGGCCUACGCUUGAAUACAUUAGCAUGGAAUAAUGGAAUAGGACUUUGGUGCUAUUUUGUUGGUUUAUGGGACCGAAGUAAUGAUUAACAGGGACAGUUGGGGCCGUUUAUAUUUCGUUGUCAGAGGUGAAAUUCUUGGAUUUACGAAAGAUAAACUUCUGCGAAAGCAUUCGGCAAGGAUGUUUUCAUUGAUCAAGAACGAAAGUUAGGGGAUCGAAGACGAUCAGAUACCGUCGUAGUCUUAACCAUAAACUAUGCCGACUAGGGAUCAGUGGAUGUCAAUUUGCGACUCCAUUGGCACCUUGUGAGAAAUCAAAGUUUUUGGGUUCCGGGGGGAGUAUGGUCGCAAGGCUGAAACUUAAAGGAAUU